UAUGAUAGCUCUAGAACAAGGUUUAUCUCUUAUAUCAUCUUGUAACUUAUUUGACACAAUCACUGCAGAUUAAACAAAGAGUUCUUUGAUCACCUACAAACUGAACUUGGGCAACUUCGAUUUGCAAUCAAUAGAACCAAGGAAAUAGAAGACAGGACAAUUGAGUUGGAAGCCAUGCAGAAGGUCUUGCUAGAGGGCACAGAAGCAUAUGAUAAGAUGCAAAUGGAUUUUGUAUCAGCAAGGGAAAGGCUUUGCAUGUAAUUCCACCAUCAUUCUCAUCUAAAAUCAUACAGCAGAUGAAAUAAUUUCAC